AGCGGAAACGAGUUAUCUGAACCUUCGGGGAACGAUAACGGCGUCGAGCGGCGGACGGGUGAGUAAUGCCUGGGAAAUUGCCCUGAUGUGGGGGAUAACUAUUGGAAACGAUAGCUAAUACCGCAUAACGUCUACGGACCAAAGAGGGGGACCUUCGGGCCUCUCGCUUCAGGAUAUGCCCAGGUGGGAUUAGCUAGUUGGUGAGGUAAUGGCUCACCAAGGCGACGAUCCCUAGCUGGUCUGAGAGGAUGAUCAGCCACACUGGAACUGAGACACGGUCCAGACUCCUACGGGAGGCAGCAGUGGGGAAUAUUGCACAAUGGGCGCAAGCCUGAUGCAGCCAUGCCGCGUGUAUGAAGAAGGCCUUCGGGUUGUAAAGUACUUUCAGUCGUGAGGAAGGCA
rnacentral:rRNA from 2 species